GAAGCAGGGAUUGUGUGUAUCGGCGCUGUGCUACGAAAGUGCACUUUGAAUCCGAAAGAGUUCCCUGCUAUAUAACAUCUGGGGAAGAUGGGCAGUUGUGUUUCAUCCAUAGUUGAAACUUUUCAACAAUCAUCUUCCCCACAUUU
rfam:Jatropha curcas cultivar GZQX0401 scaffold84_102, whole genome shotgun sequence.